rnacentral:rRNA from 1 species
UACAGAGGUCCCAAGCGUUGUUCGGAUUCACUGGGCGUAAAGGGUGCGUAGGUGGUCGGGUAAGUCUGAUGUGAAAUCUCCAAGCUCAACUUGGAAACUGCAUCGGAUACUAUUCGGCUUGAGGGUUGGAGGGGGGGACUGGAAUGCUUGGUGUAGCAGUGAAAAUGCGUAGAUAUCUGGAGGAACACCGGUGGCGAAGGCGGCAUCCUGGACCGGUAUUGACGCUGAGGCGCGAAAAGCUAAGGGGGAGCAAACGGGG